CCUGGUGAGAGACCCUUUCCCUCCAUGGGAACUAGGGGUGAAGGGUUUGGAGGAGGCAUCUGAAGGAGCCAGAGUCAUUUUAAAUCAUCAGUGUCACGUAUUUUUAAGAGACGGAGGAGGCAUCUGUGAGUGUUCCUUGGAAAAUAUGGCCAUUUGUUGGCUACCUGGGAAGGGAAUAAAGUAAAAGGAUUAGGUGACCUGGAAACAGCUGGGCCAGCAUUUGGAGCCAAGCGUGAGCAGAACGGUGGUGAGACUGUGGAUUUUCACACCAGUUGUCUACUUGCUUGUGAGCGGAGUCAUUUAAGAGUUUCUUGCUGAUGUCAGGACACAUCACUCAUAAAAACUUCAGCACUUCCAAGAACAAGGCCCUCCUGCCACAAAGCCAGAGUGCAGCAAUCACAUUAGGAAUGUUAACACAAACAGAACAUGACUACAUAAUAUCCAGUUUCUCCAGUGGUCCCAAGAAUGGCCUUUCUAGCUGGACCAGUGCUGUUGAAAUGAGAGGACAUUCCUGCUGGAGUUUUUUUGUUUGUUUGUUUGUUGACUUUUUGCAGUUUUCUACACACUCAAAUAAAUGUCCUCCUGUCGAUUAAUUCAUUUGAUAAGAG